rnacentral:lncRNA from 1 species
AUGACUCCCAUCUGUCAAGAUCUCAGAAGAUGUGGUAACUUCUCAGCAGGAGAAGCUUGGCAUAUCAGGACACAGUGCCUGGGACACGUUGGAAACCCAUCUCUUCUGAGGCUCUCUCCAGCCAGGCAAGUCCAGGGAUCUCACUUGUCUCAGAACAGAGCUUUAGUGCAUCCAAGUAGUCACUCCUGCCAAAAAGCAACAAGGUGUCUCCUGGCAGGCUGAACCACCAUUGUAUUAAAUGUGACAGAGACUGAACGUGGGCAAGAGACUGAGAUGAUAAAAGGGAGAACUGGCGUGAGAGCCUGAGAAAGCGCAGGAAUGGGCUCUCGUGUGCUCUGGGACACGAAAGAAAGGAAAAAAAAAAGAAAAGGCUUCUUUUUCCUGGGAUCAAUAGGGUGACCAAUCCCCACUUCAGAGGGCUGACAAAGGAGCGUGCCACCCACCUUUUGGCAGAGACAAUGGAACAGAGGUGAACAGUGAGGAGGUUUGGGUUUUUAAAGAUAUUUUAUUUUCCUAAUAGAACACAUUUUAAAAUAUAAAAACAAUUUUUAACAUGCUUUCUGAAAACAUAAGAUCCAAACUGUCUCUCUCCCUCCUUUUCUCCCCUCUCCCAAAGAGAGCAGGCAGUUUGAUCUGGGUUGUACAUGUAUUAUCAUGCAAAACGUGCUUCCAUAUUGGUCACUGUUGUUAGAGAAUACUUGUGUAAAACCAGAACUCCAAAAUAAAACACAAAUAAACUAAAGUGAAAAAUUGUAU